rnacentral:rRNA from 1 species
UGCCAGCCGCCGCGGUAAUACGAAGGGAGCUAGCGUUGUUCGGAAUUACUGGGCGUAGAGCGCGCGUAGGCGGCUUUUUAAGUCAGAUGUGAAAGUCCACGGCUCAACCGUGGAAGUGCAUUUGAAACUGGGAGGCUUGAGUAUUGGAGGGGGUGGUGGAAUUCCCGGUGUAGAGGUGAAAUUCGUAGAUAUUGGGAAGAACACCAGUGGCGAAGGCGGCUAACUGGCUCGGUACUGACGCUGAGGUGCGAAAGCGUGGGGAGCAAACAGGAUUAGAUA